GACGAACGCUGGCGGCGUGCUUAACACAUGCAAGUCGAACGGAAAGGCCCUGCUUUUGUGGGGUGCUCGAGUGGCGAACGGGUGAGUAACACGUGAGUAACCUGCCCUUGACUUUGGGAUAACUUCAGGAAACUGGGGCUAAUACCGGAUAGGAGCUCCUGCUGCAUGGUGGGGGAUGGAAAGUUUCGGCGGUUGUGGAUGGACUCGCGGCUUAUCAGCUGGUUUGUGGGGUAGUGGCAUACCAAGGCUUUGACGGGUAGCCGGCCUGAGAGGGUGAACGGCCACCAUGGGACUGCGAUACGGCCCAGACUCCUACGGGAGGCAGCAGUGGGGAAUAUUGCACAAUGGGCGGAAGCCUGAUGCAGCAACGCCGCGUGCGGGAUGACGGCCUUCGGGUUGUAAACCGCUUUCGCCUGUGACGAAGCGUGAGUGACGGUAAUGGGUAAAGAAGCACCGGCUAACUACGUG
rnacentral:rRNA from 1 species